rnacentral:tRNA from 1 species
AUUCCCUUAGUACAAUCAAUAUAACUGACUUCCAAUUAGUAGAUUCUGACUAAGCCUCAGAAGGGAAUA